rnacentral:rRNA from 1 species
AUUGAACGCUGGCGGCAUGCCUUACACAUGCAAGUCGAACGGUAACAGGUUAAGCUGACGAGUGGCGAACGGGUGAGUAAUAUAUCGGAACGUGCCCAGUCGUGGGGGAUAACGUAGCGAAAGAUACGCUAAUACCGCAUACGAUCUACGGAUGAAAACGGGGGAUCGCAAGACCUCGCGCUAUUGGAGCGGCCGAUAUCAGAUGAGCUAGUUGGUGAGGUAAAGGCUCGCCAAGGCGACGAUCUGUAGCUGGUCUGAGAGGACGACCAGCCACACUGGAACUGAGACACGGUCCAGACUCCUACGGGAGGCAGCAGUGGGGAAUUUUGGACAAUGGGCGCAAGCCUGAUCCAGCAAUGCCGCGUGCAGGACGAAGGCCUUCGGGUUGUAAACUGCUUUUGUACGGAGCGAAACGGUCUUCUCUAAUACAGGGGGCUAAUGACGGUACCGUAAGAAUAAGCACCGGCUAACUACGUGCCAGCCGCCGCCGUAA